rnacentral:rRNA from 1 species
CGAAUUCGCCCUUAGAGUUUGAUCCUGGCUCAGGACGAACGCUGGCGGCGUGCUUAACACAUGCAAGUCGAACGAUGAAGCCGGAGCUUGCUCCGGUGGAUUAGUGGCGAACGGGUGAGUAACACGUGAGCAACCUGCCCUUCACUCUGGGAUAACUGCGGGAAACUGUACCUAAUACCGGAUAUUAGGAUCCGAGGCAUCUCGGAUCUUGAAAAGAAUUUCGGUGAAGGAUGGACUCGCGGCCUAUCAGCUUGUUGGUGAGGUAAUGGCUCACCAAGGCGACGACGGGUAGCCGGCCUGAGAGGGUGACCGGCCACACUGGAACUGAGACACGGUCCACACUCCUACGGGAGGCAGCAGUGGGGAAUAUUGCACAAUGGGCGCAAGCCUGAUGCAGCAACGCCGCGUGAGGGACGAAGGCCUUCGGGUUGUAAACCUCUUUUAGCAGGGAAGAAGCGAAAGUGACGGUACCUGCAGAAAAAGCACCGGCUAACUACGUGCCAGCAGCCGCGGUAAUACGUAGGGUGCAAGCGUUGUCCGGAAUUAUUGGGCGUAAAGAGCUCGUAGGCGGUUUGUCGCGUCUGCUGUGAAAACUGGAAGCUCAACUUCCAGCCUGCAGUNGAUACGGGCAGACUAGAGUGCGGUAGGGG